CUCCCCUAACCCUAGCCCCCUCCCCCGCCGCCCACUUCCCCGGCGUCGUCGCCAUCGUCCACCACCACCUCCACCGCGCCCCAACCCUAUCCCCGUUGCUUCCGCCCCCACCUUCUCCCAAUCCCCUCACCUUCUCUCCCGUGGCCGGUGGAUUCGCCCCUCGCGGGAUCGAUUCCUCCGAGCCGACAGGGUCUUCAGGGCCGGACGGGAGCGGCGCGUCCCCCAUCGGCGCGUUGGUGAGCGCGGCGGCGGCCGUGGCCGAGCUCGAGCCGGCCCUUCUCCGCGCCGGCGACGCGUGCAGCAAAGAAUGGAAGGCGUGCGUUCUGUCGGCAUCUGAUCCAGACGACCUCACGCCUCCGCGCCCGUCCUCCUUCCCCGUUGCCCCUCCUCUCGAGCCACCGGCUGGCGCUCUCCCUUCGCCGGAAGAGCCUCCGACUCCUCCUCCGGAAGCUAUUUGUGGCCCAGUUGUUCGGAGAUGGAUCUACCGGCUCGAUCGAGGAGCGGCGGGGGUAGAAGUGCAAGGCGAGGAGUGCUUGAUGCGAAGAGCUCAUAACAGCCACGCGUCCGCCUUUACUGGCGAGCGCAUCAAGUUCCCAACCGGACACUAGGUUUUGAAUCUUAAAUGAUGGCUGCUUGAUAAUUUGUCCAAGUUGAGAUCCACCACCGACGAUAAGAGUUUGCUACCCUGCUCCUAUGAAGGUAGCCGAAGGCCUGCACCUCCCACCGUUCCAAUUUUUUCGGUUGAAUCAAGUGUCAAUUAAUGAGAUGGAUGUGUUGUUCAUGCUCUUUGAGAAGGCCAGCCGCUCCAGACGACGAUUUUGUAGGAUACACGCUGAAUGCGUCGCUCGCCUGUCACUCCUUCGCUAGGAGGGGCGCAACAUGCUACUCGCUCCGAUGCUCCAGGUUGAAGCGGCGAUGGCGGUUGUAGCGUGACUGACGGCAUCAGCAACAAGCAGUUACUCAUCUUUGCAUCAGCAACAGAUGGAUUAUGGAAUUGUUUCAAUCUGGAUAAUUCGCUUGGAAAAAAUUGUCACGUACACUACCAGAAGGGUGAGAGUGAAUUUCAAUAGGCUUAUGACAAAGGAAUGCCCAAAUCAAAGUUCUGGGAGCCUACAUAUGAAGAUUGCUUAAAUAUGAUUGAUGUACCGCAGGUGAAGGCCUUGCGUUGGGACUCUGUGCCUCCUAAACUAAGAACAAAUGAACUUGCCUUUAGGCUUUUCGCACUGCACUAUGCAUCCAGGUCCAACCCAAUGGUUAGGACGGCGGUUCUUGCAUAGCAUACAUGGAGAUGGUACAUGUGGGGAAGAAAUAUAAGAAACUCAUGCUCAUCAGCGAGGGCAGGGGUCAUAUAGUCUUCCACUCCAUCACCUUCCGCUCGGCCACUUUCGGCAAAGCAGACUAUGUACAACCUCUUCUUUUUGAAGCCCUCGGCCCCUCACCACCUGUUGAAGUUGUAAGCAUUCUUAUCUUCUCUCAUUUGGUCUUCUGAUACAAUAUCAUUCCCAGUAAGUAUGUGGAAUGCUUUUGUUCAAUAUCAGAUUAGACGGGGUGCAUCGAGCGUCUAUGUACAACCGCUUCUUUUGUGUUCUCAUGUUAAUUUUAAAAUAGUUGCGCUUUUGGCAGUCGGAUAUAGCGAUGGACACAAUAGUAGUUUUUUUGUUUGUUUUUAUUCAACAGUAGUAUACUCCCGUAUAAAACCAAGAGUUGUAGUACACUGUAAUGCUAUUUUGGUUUAUGUAGGAGGGCAGCAGCUCGCAUGGAUAGAGGUCAUCCAUGGCUUGAGUGAGUAGCCCCAAAAGCAGGUGGUAUGGCAAGCCGCGGGAAGCUCAGGGCAGGGUCAGCAGCUUCAACAGCUUCAACUGCACCAAUGCAACUGUAUGUCUCUUCAGAGAUGUGUCGUUAGCUGAUGAGGUUAUCCCCACUAAAGCCAAGAAGGUCAGGCGCAACUAAAACCAGGAAGGCCAAUUGUUGUUAAGUGCUCGCCCUUUUGGACCUUAUCAUUUUGUUUGUGGAUGCGCGAAAGAAUGAUGUCUGGAUAUGGGAGUGUCUCUUUAGAUGUAGAUAUAGAUGGUACCUGAAGCAACUAAACCGCGUAUGGGGAUUUAACAUUGUCUUUGGUGGAAAAGGCCCUCAAUUCUCGGCCACUGUUCUAUUUUUGAUUUCUUGCUUGGUCGUGUAGAUGUCGUGGGUAUUGUAGUCAAGGUUUCUGAUGUACUCCUGUUCCAGCCGCAACCAUGGCAAACUGUGACACUUACUAUGAAUCAUAAAUAGUUCUCUCUAUCUCUUUAUCUCUGUAUAUGAUUUGGGCAGCAUGUGUGCAUUGACCAUUCUGAUCUCUUUGCUUUCUCAUCCCCGACAUCCAGGAUACGUAGGCGGGUAUGACAUUCCUCAAAGGCGGGUGUACCGCGUAUAUGGCCGUGUUGAAAGAGUUGUGGCCUCUAUCUCUGCCUCGAAUGUCGAUGAUGCCUCUGUGCUAUCACUCUCAUGUCCUUCUUAUUUUGUUUGUUUAGUGAAUGUUGGAUUAGACAAGAAGGCUUUAUUCACGCUGAAUCUGUACAACUAUGAACUAUUUGUGUAUUCUUUUGUUUAAGCUUUGAAAUGAGAGAAUGAAAUGUUGG
rnacentral:rRNA from 1 species